CAAUUUCUCAUCCGAGUGUUCUUCAAUUUCUCAUCCGAGUGUUCUUCAAGUCCCAUGCAUAUAUUAAUAAGCACUUGCUAAUGUGCUUCACAACUGGUUAUGCAUGCAGCCUCUUCAUGCUUUGAAGGAUACAUCUUCAAUCUUUCAAAUAUUAUGAUACUGACAAUGACGUUAACAGACAAUAUAUUGUUAAAGGAGGUGCUCGCACGGAGGAGGACCUCAACGUGGUGGGCAUACUUUGCAGGUCUCCUGUUCUUCAGCUGAAGAUCAUACUUGCUGUGGAGCCUUUGAUCCCUUCAGAGGGACCAAGGAUUGGAGAGCACAUUUUCGGUUACACGGUCAGUACAUAAUCUAU